rfam:Ictidomys tridecemlineatus contig058577, whole genome shotgun sequence.
GGAGAUGUAGUUCAGUGGUAGAAUGUAUGUUUUUCAUGCACAAGGCACUGGGUUCAAUUCCAGCAUACUCCC